rnacentral:rRNA from 1 species
UGGGGAAUAUUGGACAAUGGGCGAAAGCCUGAUCCAGCCAUGCCGCGUGUGUGAAGAAGGUCUUCGGAUUGUAAAGCACUUUAAGUUGGGAGGAAGGGCAGUAAGCGAAUACCUUGCUGUUUUGACGUUACCGACAGAAUAAGCACCGGCUAACUCUGUGCCAGCAGCCGCGGUAAUACAGAGGGUGCAAGCGUUAAUCGGAAUUACUGGGCGUAAAGCGCGCGUAGGUGGUUUGUUAAGUUGGAUGUGAAAGCCCCGGGCUCAACCUGGGAACUGCAUUCAAAACUGACAAGCUAGAGUAUGGUAGAGGGUGGUGGAAUUUCCUGUGUAGCGGUGAAAUGCGUAGAUAUAGGAAGGAACACCAGUGGCGAAGGCGACCACCUGGACUGAUACUGACACUGAGGUGCGAAAGCGUGGGGAGCAAACA